CGGGACGGGUGAGUAAUGUAUGGGGAUCUGCCUGAUGGCGGGGGAUAACUACUGGAAACGGUAGCUAAUACCGCAUAACGUCGCAAGACCAAAGAGGGGGACCUUAGGGCCUCUUGCCAUCGGAUGUGCCCAGAUGGGAUUAGCUAGUAGGUGGGGUAACGGCUCACCUAGGCGACGAUCCCUAGCUGGUCUGAGAGGAUGACCAGCCACACUGGAACUGAGACACGGUCCAG
rnacentral:rRNA from 1 species